UGAGGGAUAUUGGGCAAUGGGGGAAAGCCCUGACCCAGCGACGCCGCGUGAGGGAAGACGGUCUUCGGAUUGUAAACCUCUGUCUUUGGGGACGAAGAAGGACGGUACCCAAGGAGGAAGCUCCGGCUAACUACGUGCCAGCAGCCGCGGUAAUACGUAGGGAGCGAGCGUUGUCCGGAAUUACUGGGUGUAAAGGGAGCGUAGGCGGGAUUGCAAGUUGGAUGUAAAACUCGGGCUCAACCCGGAGAGUGCAUUCAAAACUGCGAUUCUUGAGUGAAGUAGAGGCAAGCGGAAUUCCUAGUGUAGCGGUGAAAUGCGUAGAUAUUAGGAGGAACACCAGUGGCGAAGGCGGCUUGCUGGGCUUUUACUGACGCUGAGGCACGAAAGCGUGGGUAUCGAACAGGAUUAGAUACCC
rnacentral:rRNA from 1 species